UUUGUUUCUCCCCUUCACAGUUCUCUGUCUGUCACUCUCUCUUCCUCACUCUUCCUCUCUUGCUCACGUGGUUUCCACGUGACCAUCGGCCAGGGUUUAUUUCUGAAGUCCUAGUAAUUAUUCUACCGGUCUCUUUGCCAAACCACUAAGUUACGGGACGUAAACACACGAACACCGUUUGUCGAGCAAUGAUGGGGAAAAACACAGACACAAACAGACACACACACACACACACACACACACACACACACACACACACACACACACACACGACGGGCUUCUUUCAGUUUCCAUCCACCAAAUCCACUCACAAGCCUUUCGUAGGCCCGAGGCUAUAGUAGAAGAAACUUACCGAAAGUGCCACGUAAUGGGACUAAAUCCAGAACCAUGUGGUUGGGAAGCACUAUAUAUAUAUAUAUACAUAUAUAUAUACGUAGGUAGCUACGUAGAUGUAGGUAUAUAUAUACCGUUCUGAACAAAUAUUUAUUGAAGACACAUACAUUAUACCCAGGGCUGUGAUCUCUGAUCGUAGACAUCAGGCCCGAUGCUUGCAACAGAAUGAAUUCCUCUGUUAAAGGAACACAAUAGCCAAGUGGUGUUCUUAAACUAGGUGGCGGGUUAGUCUACCAUCUAAAUUAUCCACGGCGAUAUUGGAACUCAGAAUUCAAAGAGCCGGAACAAAUAUUUCAAUGCUUUUCCACCAACGUUCUAAUGAUAACGGCAGUUCACUGCUUUUAAUUUCCCUGACCUCUGAAUGAUAAAAGGUAAGUUUGGCCUUGCUGAGAUUUGAAAUCAGAAUGUAAGGUGCCAGAAAGAAUAGCACAAGAUAUUACACCUGGUGUUCUAUCGACUCCGCCAGAAUGCUGCUCAUUGCUCUCUAAGUCUCAAAAGUUGGACGCGGCACAACAAUCUAACGGACGACUCGUCAAUCUCUAAAAGGUGAUCAACGGUGCUACUUACAUCAGCGAGCCAACGGAGAAGCCUCUACGCGGUUUCUCACCCACAUAGCAGCUAAAUCUCUCUCAUACCUUACCUGCCUACCACACUAAAUAAUGUAGACUGUAGUGUUCUGUUCCUAAGGAAAAAGAUAGGGUAUUGGGGUUGGAAAUAAUUUUGAUCAAUAGUUCCCUCAAGGAAAGAAUACCUGGAAUUAAUCAAGGACAAGAUCAAAGAACUACAAUUCAGUAUAUGCUUACAACAAAAGUUACUCUAUCUUAUUGGAACCCGGGUGACUUAGCUAACAGCGAAUACAGGAAUGAAAAAAAAUCGCUACCCCUAGAGGAGCAAACGAACUGUCGAUCUCUCGACCAUUGACUGGCAAUCCGCUAAACUAUCUAUUAUUGUAUACACCUGCUCAUAUCUUUAUCUCCCAUAAUAUAUUUUUCGUUUGUGCAUUCCUAUGAAACACCCCCACUGUUUCAUCUGUGGCGAAUUUCAACAUUAAGCAGAUUUUCUAUCAUAAUACUAUAUUACGAAGGAUCUUGAUUGUGUCGAGGAAGAAGAAAAAUUGAAAACGCUCAUAACUGGUGAGGAAUCGUGAGUCUAUGGCUACGACCCCGAAACCAAGGCAAAAAUCAUAUCCCAUUUGAAAGGAAUAAGAUUUCAAGACAUCGAAGAAAUCCAAGAGAAUUCGAGGAGACAGCUGCUCGCUGUCCUCCCAAAAGAGUUCCAGAAAUACUUCUAUCAAUGAAAACGAUGUUGGAUAAAGCGUGUGAGAUAAGUUCGAAGGAAAUUAAAUUCCGGAUUAAUAUC